rfam:Phycisphaerae bacterium SM23_30 WORSMTZ_5593, whole genome shotgun sequence.
AGAGUUCCAUAUGGUGAAGGAGUAGCGACCAACACCGGCCCCGAGUCAUGCGGUGGUGUCCGCGAGGGCAUCACUGAAGCGUUGGCAGGGGACUGUACAGGCCAGGUAUUGAGCCGCGAAAACUUGGUACUUCAGGAUGCCGACGGCGUCAAUGGGUCCGGAAGGCAAUAUAGUUCAUCUCGUUAUCGCAAGAGAUGGACUGAUCCUGCGUGGUCGGAGACCC